AUACGGAGGGGGUUAGCGUUGUUCGGAAUUACUGGGCGUAAAGCGCACGUAGGCGGAUUGGAAAGUAAGAGGUGAAAUCCCAGGGCUCAACCCUGGAACUGCCUUUUAAACUCCCAGUCUUGAGUUCGAGAGAGGUAAGUGGAAUUCCAAGUGUAGAGGUGAAAUUCGUAGAUAUUUGGAGGAACACCAGUGGCGAAGGCGGCUUACUGGCUCGAUACUGACGCUGAGGUGCGAAAGCGUGGGGAGCAAACAGGAUUAGAAACCCUAGUAGUCC
rnacentral:rRNA from 1 species